rnacentral:rRNA from 1 species
AGUGAACGCUGGCGGUAGGCCUAACACAUGCAAGUCGAACGGCAGCACAGUAAGAGCUUGCUCUUACGGGUGGCGAGUGGCGGACGGGUGAGGAAUACAUCGGAAUCUACUUUUUCGUGGGGGAUAACGUAGGGAAACUUACGCUAAUACCGCAUACGACCUACGGGUGAAAGCAGGGGAUCUUCGGACCUUGCGCGAUUGAAUGAGCCGAUGUCGGAUUAGCUAGUUGGCGGGGUAAAGGCCCACCAAGGCGACGAUCCGUAGCUGGUCUGAGAGGAUGAUCAGCCACACUGGAACGGAGACACGGUCCAGACUCCUACGGGAGGCAGCAGUGGGGAAUAUUGGACAAUGGGCGCAAGCCUGAUCCAGCCACACCGCGUAGGUGAAGAAGGCCUUCGGGUUGUAAAGCCCUUUUGUUGGGAAAGAAAAGCAGCAGGUUAAUACCCCGCUGUUCUGACGGUACCCAAAGAAUAAGCACCGGCUAACUUCGUG